rnacentral:misc_RNA from 1 species
GUCGGAAAUUACAUAUACAUCUCCUUUACAUUUCAUAGAUGCAUUUUACUUUACAAGUGUCAGCAGAAGGAUGAGUAGUUUGAAUGAAUACAAAAGUUCAUUCUGUUGGAGAGGAAGAUCAAGAAAAUGGUACAAUGCUUGAGGCGCAUGAAAAGAGAUUUCCUUAAUAACAUUUCGCCCCACCAGAUAAUGAAAUAAUUCAGCAUAUCCCCCAGGAUUCAGUAAGCCUUUUUUCUACAAGAGGGAACAUCAAAU